rnacentral:ncRNA from 1 species
GUCGCGACAACUGAAACCAACACGCGUACGUGCGGGGGAAGACCGGUCGAAGUCCGGCGCUGGCCCGCAACGGUAGGCCGUCCAGGUGCAUCCUGCGGCGGCGAGCCCGAAUACCCGUCGUACGCGUGCAUCCGCU